ACCAAAAUUCCUUUGACUUUCUACUUCAAUCAUUAACAGCAAACUGGAGAAAUAAACUAUAAUAUAUUCAGACUAUGUAGUAUAGUAUUACUUCAGCAAUGAAACAAAUGUUGAAAUGAUGGCUAAGAAAAAGAAAAAAGAAACAGUCAUAUUUCAAACACCACAGACAACUUGAUCCAAUUUUUAUAAAGGAAAAGAAAACUUAUUUUGGGUUAGGCAUAUUCAAAAAUCACAAAAGUAUCUUUCUAGAGUUUAGGAUGAUAGGGGACUUUCAUAUGCCUGUAACAAUUAAAAUUUUAUAAUAAGUAUGUAUUUCUUUUAUAAACAGGGAACAGUGAAAACUGUCUUUUAUAGAAAAAGAAAAGAACAAAUUCCUAUUUCAAUUUAAGGGUAUAUAAGCAGUAGUUUCAUGGUUAAAAUUAGCCUUGUUUUAAUCACACAUCUCUAUGUGUCUUAAAUAUCAUAAAAUUAUUUAAUGUUUAAACAGACAUGGCACAUUUUAGAUAAUAAAUUGUGUGCCUGAGGGGAGGAUAAGGGAUCAGCUGAUAGAGGGGAGAUCUCGAAGUUUCACAGACUCCUAUUUCAAAUUCUAUGGUAAAAGUGAGUAACCACCUAUUUUGUGUCAAGUAACUCUGGAUAUUUAUGUAGAUGUUUUGCUUAGGCUGAAAUGGGGACGAUUUUAAAAACUCUUAGCAGCUGUACAAUUUUCACAUUAAGCAGAACUGAGAUAACAGCUUUUAGGAUAAGCUGAAUAGAGAAUAACAUCUCAUACACAGUUAAAUUUAAUGUUUUUUCAAUUAAAUAUCAAAUAGGCAUUUCUUCUAGCAUAAUAUCCCUCUAUGUCUUAUCUAUUAUUUUGUUAAAUGGUUAAACUAUGUUAAAAAUAUAGGUUGUGGCUACAUAUUAAGUGUUCUAUUACCUGAGCAACGUAAUUAUUUAAUCAGAUAGUUUAAAUAGCAGUUUCUCUCCCACUGAAAUACCACCUGUUCCUAUCCUUUCUUACUCUCCUGUGGCUCACUUCUUCCUUUGAGGGGCUUACUCUCAGAGGAGACAGCGAACAAAGUCAGAUGUAAGUCAGUGGCAUUCAAUUCAGUAAAUAGAAUCCAUGGCGUUUCUCCAGCAAAGUUCCCAACACAAAAUCCUCCACUAUAUCCAAUGUCCAGCUCCUCCUUCCACUUUAUAAGGGGUGUAUUCUCUCUGUAAUUCCUAGCUUUGCCACACUGUGGUACCCAAGGCCUGGCUUACUGGUGUCAACGUUGCACUUGAAAUAUAGGAAGUGAUUUCUUCAUUUAUAUGCACCUCUAAUAGAGAGUGUUACUGUUGAUUUUUUUCAGCAUAGUCUUCUAUUCUGAGCACUGCACUUACCCUUAUGGUUUUAGGACAUCACUGACAAGAGAAGAGGAAAGCCAGAGCUGAUAUUUGGAUAGGUUCUUUCCGGCCUUGUUCCUCUGUUUCAGACAAAGAGAAAUUUCAGUCAACUGUUUUUCACUAGUCUAAAAAAGCAUAAAUAUAAAAAUAAACUCAUUGUUUCUUCCAGAUAAUGAUGUGUUGAUACAUUCAGAUAGCUUCUUAGGUUAUUAUUACUGUAGGCCCAAAAGCAGGUCAUUUGACAAAAACUUUGGGCUCUCUUACCCGGUAAAAAUAGUUCCGCCACUUGACUGGGAGGCCCAGCAAUCAGAACUGUGAUUCCAAUGUAGAAGAGAAGGAACCAGCUCUUAUUGAAUGCUUACUAUGUGCUGGGAACUGUUUUAAACACUUCUGCUUUAAGCAUUCCUACUUAAUACUCAUAUCAACCUUAUGAGGUCUUAUGAAAUUCCUCUUAUAAAUGAGGAACAUAAAAUUAAGUAAAUUUCCCAAAGACACAUAGGAAGAUUCAGAGUAAGGAUCUGAAUCCUGUGCCAAAACCACUGACUGUUAUCACUAUGUGUUCUCUCUUGCUUCCAUUCACUCUGGUGUCCUCGCGACAAUCUUUUCGACCAAGUAUUUUAACUACAUUUUAUACCCGAGGACAUUACAGUGAAGGGAAGUAAAUACACCUGAGGACAUUAAAGUGAAGGGAAGUAAAGUAACUCUCCCACAAUUAGUAGCUAGUAAAUGACUAGAUUCAAGCAAUGAUCUACAGAGCUCAUUCUUUUUCCGAUAUAUCCCACUGCUGCAGGCUGUAGGGCUGGCCUCUUUACUCUGGAGCUCCAGGAGUUGGGUUUUGUUCAAGAGGGUCAUGAACUCUCUGAAACACAAAAUACUGUCUGGUUUUAGAUGAGGGUCCCUGGUUGGAUUCAGACUUUCAGUAGUUCAAUUAUAUUAAGAAAGCUAAUCCCACUUGCCCCUACUUUAAAGUUCUGUUGGAAGCUCCCUGAAGCAUGAGUUCAGUUGCAGUGGGCUUCAGAAGGGCUACUCUUAUUCCCAGACAUUUUUUUUAUACUAACUAGAUCUGAACGAGACACCUCAGGACUAUCCCUUCCUCCUUCUGCUCCUGAAUCCCACCACUUUGGAGGUUCAUUGGAACUCCCAAGUCUGAGUCUCUGUGAAAGAGGCAGGCCAAAAAUUUCUCUUAGAGCAGAGACUCCAUUUCAAAAGACACGGUCUUUAUAUCUUUGUCUUCAUCAUACACGUGGCAAAAAUUAAAGCUUGACAAAGUGUUAGUAACUGCUUAAUACACUUCAUGAUUGAUGGGAGGAGCCUUGUAGGGGACAUAGUGUAAAUGGGUGGAGAAACUUGUCCUGAAAUAUGGUACCACAUGCUGGGGGAGAUGCCCAGCCAGAACAGCAUAUCCAAUAGAGUAGAAUGACAUCAGCCCACGUGGAGCCAUGAGAGACUCAGAACAUUUCUCUCUCCUAGCUUGAUGUCAUAAUGAUGCCUGAAGUUCCUCAGCUGAUGAUUUAUAUAUUAAUCCUAAAGCUUAAGCCUAAUGGUUUGUGAAUCUGAGACUUUUACAGUUGGCUCACAUAAAACAAGCCUGAGACAUGUAGGAGAGCUGAUAUUUGGGGAAGACAAACUUAUUGUUUUCAUGUGUAUUUGUUCUGUUACCACUUCUCCCUCAUCUACCACCAACUAGAUGAUGGUGUGACAGAAGACAUAAGCCCUGAAUAAAGUUUCUAGCCUAAAAGUGCACAUUUUUGAGGGCUUAUCCCCUCUAAGUCCUCAAUUGUUUAAUAAUUAUUUUAUAAAUAUAUAGUUUCUUGGCAUAAUUUGCCAUAAUUUCAUGAUUAAAAAGAUAUAGAGGUACCACACUUUUAAAGAAUUAACUCAUUGCCUUUGCUCGAUCUAUUAUGGCCCUCCCUCAAAUUUAAAAAUAUAUACAAAUUUGAAAAAUCACCCAUCUGUGACCCUUAAUUUUCUUUUUUUAAAAAAUAAGCAUUUUAGGUUAGAUAAUUGCAAAGAUCCCUUCUAUUCCCCAUACUUAGUAUUCUAUAGACUAGGAAACAAUUGCAGCACUUACAACUUUUUAUGAUGUCCCAAAUUGCAAAGCAUAAUGAAAUACCACUCGCCAUUCUCCACAAAGUGAAAUUUUUCUUAUGGUCAAUGACUUUAGUUUUUAUUUCCAAAUGAUAUAGUGUGUUUUCAAGAGGCUUUUCAUAUCAAAUCUAUAUAAGCAGACGUCCUGAUGCAAUUUAAAUUAAUACUGACAACUCAGAAAUCUCCCUAAUGCCCUAGCAAUGAUAUAUACCUGUCAGAUUCCCUGCCAUCUCUAAUGACCUCAACUUAUAGUGAUUGAUCAUUUGAUGGAAAUUUCUCUGCCAUAUCCCUGAAAAAAACAAAAAAGAUGAUG